GCAGUGCCCCGGCUCUGUCGCUGGCAUCGUUUUAAGAUGCGAGAGGAAAGUCCGGGCAGCAAAGGGCGCUCCACUUCUGAAAGUAGAAGCUAUUGGUGACAGUAGGUGUAGGCAGAAGAAAAUAACCGCCACUCCUUGUGAGUGGAAAGGGUGAGAAGGUGGUGUAAGAGACCACCGGGUGGCGGGUGAUCGCCAUGCCGUGCCGUCUGGAGGCUGCAAGUUCAUGUAUACCGUCGUCAAUAGGGCUGCCCGCUCGAUGCUCUGCAACGACGGAGGGUAGAACGCUGGAGUUGCGAGGUGACUCGCAAUGUAGAUAAAUGAUGGGGCUCCUCUCUUGUGGGGGAUACAGAACCCGGCUUAUCAGGGCACUGUUUUA
rfam:Prevotella sp. S7-1-8 contig034, whole genome shotgun sequence.